AUGGAUCUGUGGAGUUGAAUUAAUGAAGAAUUCAGACCCAAGCAUAACAUUUACAGUUUAUGUAGACCACAGGGAAAUGUUUUAAAAUGCAUAAUUCUAUCUAAAAAACCAAAAUAUCCCUCCAUUAAUGUUUGUUUCAGAUGCU